rnacentral:rRNA from 1 species
GGGCNAGCCUGAUGCAGCGACGCCGCGUGGGGGAUGAAGCUUUUCGGAGUGUAAACCCCUUUCGACCCGGACGAAUGCCCCGCAAGGGGACUGACGGUACGGGUAUAAGAAGCCCCGGCUAACUACGUGCCAGCAGCCGCGGUAAGACGUGGGGGGCCAGCGUUGUUCGGAAUUACUGGGUGUAAAGGGUCAGUAGGCGGUGUGGCAAGUCGGGAGUGAAAUCUCUGGGCUUAACUCAGAGACUGCUUCCGAAACUGCUGUGCUUGAGUGUGGGAGAGGCGCGUGGAAUUGCAGGUGUAGCGGUGAAAUGCGUAGAUAUCUGCAGGAACACCCGUGGCGAAAGCGGCGCGCUGGACCACAACUGACGCUGAAUGACGAAAGCUAGGGGAGCAAACAGGAUUAGAUACCCUGGUAGUCCUAGCCCUAAACGAUCAGGACUUGGGGUGCCGCACGUUCGUGCGUCGUCCCGGAGCUAACGCGUUAAGUCCUGCACCUGGGGAGUACGGUCGCAAGACUGAAACUCAAAAAAAUUGACGGA